rnacentral:rRNA from 1 species
CACGGGGGGAGCGAACGUUGUUCGGAAUCACUGGGCGUAAAGGGCGUGUAGGCGGUCCGGUAAGUGAGAUGUGAAAGCCCCCGGCUCACCCGGGGAACUGCAUCUCAUACUGCUGGACUUGAGUGCGGGAGAGGAUGGGGGAAUUCCUGGUGUAGCGGUGAAAUGCGUAGAUAUCAGGAGGAACACCGGUGGCGAAGGCGCCCAUCUGGCCCGUUACUGACGCUGAGGCGCGAAAGCUAGGGGAGCAAACGGG